UUGAUGUUUAGCCGGGCGAUGGUUGCCCCGGUCGAAAGGGACUGAAAAUGUUCGGGAAGUAAACAUGGACGAAGGCGAGAAAAGCUGUGUGAAUAUAUGAGGAGCCCGUACCGCAAACCGACACAGGUAGAUAGGAAGAGAAUUCCAAGGCCAACGGGAGAAGGGUUGUUAAGGAACUCGGCAAGUUGACCCCGUAACUUCGGGAGAAGGGGUGCUCAUGAAAGUGAGCCGCAGAGAAUAGGCCCAAGCGACUGUUUAGCAAAAACACAGCUCUAUGCUAAAUCGAAAGAUGACGUAUAUGGGGUGACACCUGCCCGGUGCUGGAAGGUUAAGAGGAGGGGUGAGAGCUCUGAAUUGAAGCCCCAGUAAACGGCGGCCGUAACAAUAACGGUCCUAAGGUAGCGAAAUUCCUUGUCAGGUAAGUUCUGACCCGCACGAAUGGUGUAACGAUUUGGGCACUGUCUCAACAACCCGCCCGGCGAAAUUGUAGUACCGGUGAAGAUGCCGGUUACCCGCGACUAGACGGAAAGACACCAUGGAGCUUCACUGUAGCUUAAUAUUGGAUUUCGGUAUUUGAUGUACAGGAUAGGUGGGAGACUAGGAAGCAAAGGCGUCAGCUUUUGUGGAGUCAAACUUGGGAUACCACUCUUUAAGUGCUGGAAUUCUAACCUGCGACCAUGAAACUGGUCGGGGGACAAUGUUAGGUGGGCAGUUUGACUGGGGCGGUCGCCUCCAAAAGGUAACGGAGGCGCUCAAAGGUUAGCUCAGUAUGGAUGGAAACCAUGCGAAGAGUGUAAACGCGUAAGCUAGCCUAACUGCGAGACUGACGGGUCGAGCAGUAACGAAAGUUGGAGUUAGUGAUCCGGCGGUAUGUGAAUGGAAAUGCCGUCGCUCAACGGAUAAAAGCUACCCUGGGGAUAACAGGCUGAUCUCCCCCAAGAGUCCACAUCGACGGGGAGGUUUGGCACCUCGAUGUCGGCUCAUCGCAUCCUGGGGCUGAAUUUGGUCCCAAGGGUUUGGCUGUUCGCCAAUUAAAGCGGUACGCGAGCUGGGUUCAGAACGUCGUGAGACAGUUCGGUCCCUAUCUGUCGUGGGCGAAGGAUAUUUGAGAGGAGCUGUCCCUAGUACGAGAGGACGGGGAUGGACGCACCUCUGGUGCACCAGUUGUCACGCCAGUGGCACAGCUGGGCAGCUAAGUGCGGAACGGAUAAACGCUGAAG
rnacentral:rRNA from 1 species